rnacentral:misc_RNA from 1 species
AAGUCGUAACAAGGUUUCCGUAGGUGAACCUGCGGAAGGAUCAUUACUGAAUGGCGUGGGCCUCGCUGUCGCGGUUCCAUGUUUCUUUGUUGCAAUGUUCGAAUGAUGGUUCACAUCAUCGAGCUGCAUCAUGCCGGCGUCUGCUUUGCACCCUAACCUUGUGGAAGUAUCAGGUCUUUGGUCUUCUACGUAUGUUUCUUUCACCACACAAAACCUGUCAUAGUAUGGCAUUGCGCUUUGAACAUACAUAAUAUAACUUUCAACAACGGAUCUCUUGGCUCUC